rnacentral:lncRNA from 1 species
GCAGAGGAUUUUUAGAUCAGCUGCUGGCUUCUGGUGCCCUUCUCCUUUUGAGAAAUGCAUUGUGUGACUAAGGUGACAAAGAAACAACAGCAAUUCACUGGGCUAAGUGGUUUGUACAACAACCAGGAGAGAGCAGAUUAAUUCUGUCUAGGAGCUCAGGAUGGCACUUGAACCAGACCUUGAAAAAUGUGCACAGGAUUUCGCCAUCAGAGAAACAAGGUGAGGACAUGUUAAGCAGAGAGGACUUUGAACCAA